rnacentral:ncRNA from 1 species
AUCAUCAGUAGUGGUUAUACUAUAUCUAAUAUAUAUAACUAUUAUUACAUAAAGACUUUUAGCGGGCCCGUCUGUUGCAGCAUCGAUGUGCACGGGCGACGUCUGCUAUCUACCCAUAGCUAAGCAUUGGUUGACCCUACUAACAAUUCGGUCACAAUCAGUACUUCGUUUCGGUCUUUUAGAGGAUAUCGGCAUUACAUGU